rnacentral:misc_RNA from 1 species
AAGAGUGGCGCGCACUCGCCAGCCUGAGCAUGGCGAAAACUCCUCCAG